rnacentral:rRNA from 1 species
GUACACGCUGUGACUAGCAUAUCAAUAAGCGGAGGAAAAGAAACUAACAAGGAUUCCCCUAGUAACGGCGAGUGAAGCGGGAAGAGCUCAAAUUUGAAAUCUUAAAGGGUUUCCCUUUACGAAUUGUAGUUUAAAGAAGUGUUUUCUGUUGAGGUUUUGGUAAAAGCUCUUUGGAAUAGGACAUCAUAGAGGGUGAGAAUCCCGUAUUUGACCUUUACUUUCAACUUUGUGAUACACUUCCAAAGAGUCGGAUUGUUUGGGAAUGCAGUCCAAAAUGGGUGGUAAAUUUCAUCUAAAGCUAAAUAUUGGCGAGAGACCGAUAGCGAACAAGUACCGUGAGGGAAAGAUGAAAAGAACUUUGAAAAGAGAGUUAAACAGUACGUGAAAUUGUCAAAAGGGAAGCGUUUGACUACCAGUGUUGUUUUUCUGAAAAUCAAUUAAAGAACUGUUUAUGCUAAGUUGUUUAGACUUUAUCAGCUAACUGUUUAGUUUUGAGCUUUUCUUUAAUGCACUUUUCAGUUAACAAGUCAACAUCAAUUUCUUUUGCUGUAAAAAAGCUUGAGGAAGGUGGCUUGAGAUUCGUCUUAAGUGUUUAUAGCCUCUUGCCUAUGCAGUCGGAGAGAUUGAGGUCUGCAGCGUAGAUCCUUCGGGGCUAAAUGCAUUUGUGCUAAGUUAUAGCAUUUUAUAGACAACUUGUUGACUAUGAUUUGUCUUGUAGCUUACUCGCUUAUGUUAUUUUACCUACGCUUAGGAUGUUGAAGAUGUAGCACAUCAU